rnacentral:rRNA from 1 species
CACGUAGGGCGCAAGCGUUGUCCGGAAUUAUUGGGCGUAAAGCGCGCGCAGGCGGUCCUUUAAGUCUGAUGUGAAAGCCCACGGCUCAACCGUGGAGGGUCAUUGGAAACUGGGGGACUUGAGUACAGAAGAGAAGAGUGGAAUUCCACGUGUAGCGGUGAAAUGCGUAGAGAUGUGGAGGAACACCAGUGGCGAAGGCGACUCUUUGGUCUGUAACUGACGCUGAGGCGCGAAAGCCAGGGGAGCAAACGGG